rnacentral:rRNA from 1 species
UACCUGACCUAGCGGCGGACGGGUGAGUAAUGCUUAGGAAUCUGCCUAUUAGUGGGGGACAACAUCUCGAAAGGGAUGCUAAUACCGCAUACGUCCUACGGGAGAAAGCAGGGGACCUUCGGGCCUUGCGCUAAUAGAUGAGCCUAAGUCGGAUUAGCUAGUUGGUGGGGUAAAGGCCUACCAAGGCGACGAUCUGUAGCGGGUCUGAGAGGAUGAUCCGCCACACUGGGACUGAGACACGGCCCAGACUCCUACGGGAGGCAGCAGUGGGGAAUAUUGGACAAUGGGGGGAACCCUGAUCCAGCCAUGCCGCGUGUGUGAAGAAGGCCUUUUGGUUGUAAAGCACUUUAAGCGAGGAGGAGGCUACCGAGAUUAAUACUCUUGGAUAGUGGACGUUACUCGCAGAAUAAGCACCGGCUAACUCUGUGCCAGCAGCCGCGGUAAUACAGAGGGUGCAAGCGUUAAUCGGAUUUACUGGGCGUAAAGCGCGCGUAGGUGGCCAAUUAAGUCAAAUGUGAAAUCCCCGAGCUUAACUUGGGAAUUGCAUUCGAUACUGGUUGGCUAGAGUAUGGGAGAGGAUGGUAGAAUUCCAGGUGUAGCGGUGAAAUGCGUAGAGAUCUGGAGGAAUACCGAUGGCGAAGGCAGCCAUCUGGCCUAAUACUGACACUGAGGUGCGAAAGCAUGGGGAGCAAACAGGAUUAGAUACCCUGGUAGUCCAUGCCGUAAACGAUGUCUACUAGCCGUUGGGGCCUUUGAGGCUUUAGUGGCGCAGCUAACGCGAUAAGUAGACCGCCUGGGGAG